AGAGCUGCCCCUGGAGAGGGAGUGUCCCUGUGCUUCUCUCAAAGGGGAUGGAAGAGGUGUACAACUCUGUGGCACAGUUAGAGUGGCACCCUCCUCUUGGCAAGGCCCAGUGGUGCAGCUGGUGCACUCCAGGGAGAUGUAGCUCCUGCAGGUUGUCUACUGGGGGUUAAUUCUCUCCCUGUAAACCCCACCCUUGCUUGCUGUACGUGUGGGCUGCUGUAAAAUCACAGCUGCCGGAGCAGUCUCAGGCUGCCCCUUCCUCCCUGGGUGACAGGCUGGGCCAGGACCCAACUCAGAUGGCUGGGCCUUUAGGAACAGAGCCAGCUUGUGGGAGGGUACUGGCAGCUGCUGGACCUUGCUAGGCUCAGGCCUUCCCUGUUGUUCUACCUCACAGUCAUGGGCUAAUUGAUCUAAUGGUUGCCUGGUGUGCAAAGGAGGGGGGAGAGUGGGGAAGAGUCCACCCUUCCCCUACUGCUAAAGCUCCUGCCCCUCCUAUUGAGGGUGGUGGUGAUUACCUACCCUUCCAUUUCUGGGUUAGUUACACUCUACAUCCUACCAUGCAGCUGGCCCAGCUCCCCAACUAGGCCCCAUAUGCUGCACUUUCAGAACCUGCCUCUGCUCAGCAUGUGCUUCCCACCAUUUGCUUCAGAGCUGCGGGUAUAGCAGGGCUAUAAGCAUGUCUCCUGCUUCCAGUACCUGCCCUUGGCUUGCCGGGAUGGAUAUGGGGGAGCAGUGUCAUUUCU